rnacentral:snRNA from 1 species
AGAUUUGCACAGUGGCAGUAUUGUAGCCAAUGAGGUUUAUCCGAGGUGCGAUUAUUGCUAACUGAAAAACUAAUGAUGUAUUGUAUGGUAACUAACAUAACAUAAUAAAAUUAAAUUUAAAAAAAU